GACGAACGCUGGCGGCGUGCCUAAUACAUGCAAGUCGAACGCUUCUUUCCUCCCGAGUGCUUGCACUCAAUUGGAAAGAGGAGUGGCGGACGGGUGAGUAACACGUGGGUAACCUACCCAUCAGAGGGGGAUAACACUUGGAAACAGGUGCUAAUACCGCAUAACAGUUUAUGCCGCAUGGCAUAAGAGUGAAAGGCGCUUUCGGGUGUCGCUGAUGGAUGGACCCGCGGUGCAUUAGCUAGUUGGUGAGGUAACGGCUCACCAAGGCCACGAUGCAUAGCCGACCUGAGAGGGUGAUCGGCCACACUGGGACUGAGACACGGCCCAGACUCCUACGGGAGGCAGCAGUAGGGAAUCUUCGGCAAUGGACGAAAGUCUGACCGAGCAACGCCGCGUGAGUGAAGAAGGUUUUCGGAUCGUAAAACUCUGUUGUUAGAGAAGAACAAGGACGUUAGUAACUGAACGUCCCCUGACGGAUCUACCA
rnacentral:rRNA from 1 species